rnacentral:tRNA from 5 species
GUCCCUAUCGUCUAGCCCGGCCCAGGACAACGGCCUUUCACGCCGUCGACAGGGGUUCAAAUCCCCUUGGGGACGCCA